UGAUCCUUGAUCUUCAAACAGAGUCACACCCCAAGUUAAUCCCUGGCUGUUUAAGUCUUAAUUUCAGUUUAAAUCUUCAAAGUUACUUCCUUAAGGAGCUGAUCAAAGUUCACCUUUCAUCUAUAGAUUGGAGACGUGGCAAUCAUUCUUACCUGACAACAGGUAAAAUCCAGCUCUAAUUCUAAAACAGCAUAUUUUGUGGUGUUGAGCUGGAUCUCUGCUUAUCUUAAAACUUUCAUUGACAUUGAAGCUCCAUUUGCACCUAAUUGCCUAUGUCACCAACACAGAGCUGUCAUAUAGCAGAUAAGAUUUGACCUUCAGGCAGCAAAGUGAGUUUUAGGCAAAGAGAUACCACAUUUAAACUUCAGGAUCUGAUUCUUCUGUUCAUUUUCCUUCCCUUCUGCCACUGGAAAUUUCUCUGGCAAGAAGAAAAAUACCUGUCCGAUAUCAGUGCUCAUCUUUGCUGACUAAGGCAGGUCAGCUGCAGGAUCAUCCCACCCCUUGGACUGCAGGGAUGGAGCAGAAGAGAUGGGUCCUGUUGGCUCUGGCACUUCUUCUGGCUAUCCCUUUCUCAGGUUCUGUUUUUCCAGGUGCAUCUCAGUGGGUUCCUGCCUCCUGGAUACAGCUCCCUUUAUUCCUUCUCACACUGGCUGCUGGUGCUGUUCUAGUAUUUCAAGGAAGGAGAGUGGACUCCCUGGAAACUGUUUGGCUGAAGAACCACCAGCACCUCUACCAAAAAAUUCAGACUCUGCAGGAAGCUUUCCAGAAUGAGCAGGAGUCCACACGGUGUGAUAUUCAGCUCCUCAAAACAGACCUGGAGAAUAUAUUAGGAUUGAGAGUAGAGGCAAAUACUACAAAAUCUUUGGAAUCCAUGUGGAAGAAGGAUGUCCAUGAAGUGUCCCAACAAGUUCAAACUCUGCAGAAAGCUUUUCAAAACACCCACCUGUACACACUGCGAGACCUUCAGAUUAUGAGAACAGACCUGAAGGAUGAACUAGGAAGGACAGUGGAGGCAAAUGUCACAGGGAAUAUAGCAUUCAUGUGGCAGAAGGACCUCCUGCAUCUCUCCCAACAAAUUCAAACUCUGAAGCAAACUUUCCAGAACAUGAAGCUUGCUAUACAGCGUGACUUUCAAAUAAUCAGAAGAGAGCUGGAGAACAAACUAGGAGAGACAAUGGAGGCAAAAACAAGCACCUUAGAAGCCAGGCUGGAGAAAGACCACCAUGAAGCCUCCCAACAAAUUCAAACUCUGCAGGAAAAUUUCCAGAAGAAAUAUGAGGCCACACAGCGUGACUUUCAGAGGAUCAGAACAGAGUUGGAGCAUGACCUAGGUAAACUAGGCUAUUCCCCAGCAAGCUUUCAUCUCUCUAAAGAAAAAAGCUGUUCUACAGGCAA
rnacentral:lncRNA from 1 species